rnacentral:rRNA from 1 species
UGGAGGCAGCAGUGGGGAAUAUUGGUCAAUGGGCGCAAGCCUGAACCAGCCAUCCCGCGUGAAGGAAGAAGGCGCUAUGCGUUGUAAACUUCUUUUUCAGGGGAAGAAUGUUGGGUACGUGUACCCAAUUGCCGGUACCCUGUGAAUAAGCAUCGGCUAACUCCGUGCCAGCAGCCGCGGUAAUACGGAGGAUGCGAGCGUUAUCCGGAUUUAUUGGGUUUAAAGGGUGCGUAGGCGGAUUGAUAAGUCAGUGGUGAAAUCCUGCAGCUUAACUGUGGAAUUGCCGUUGAUACUGUCAGUCUUGAGUAUGGUUAAGGUAGGCGGAAUGUGUAAUGUAGCGGUGAAAUGCUUAGAUAUUACACAGAACACCGAUUGCGAAGGCAGCUUACUGAACCAUAACUGACGCUGAGGCACGAAAGCGUGGGGAGCGAACAGGAUUAGAUACCCCGGUAGC